rnacentral:rRNA from 1 species
UAGGGAAUCUUCGGCAAUGGGGGCAACCCUGACCGAGCAACGCCGCGUGAGUGAAGAAGGUUUUCGGAUCGUAAAGCUCUGUUGUAAGAGAAGAACGAGUGUGAGAGUGGAAAGUUCACGCUGUGACGGUAUCUUACCAGAAAGGGACGGCUAACUACGUGCCAGCAGCCGCGGUAAUACGUAGGUCCCGAGCGUUAUCCGGAUUUAUUGGGCGUAAAGCGAGCGCAGGCGGUUAGAUAAGUCUGAAGUUAAAGGCUGUGGCUUAACCAUAGUACGCUUUGGAAACUGUUUAACUUGAGUGCAAGAGGGGAGAGUGGAAUUCCAUGUGUAGCGGUGAAAUGCGUAGAUAUAUGGAGGAACACCGGUGGCGAAAGCGGCUCUCUGGCUUGUAACUGACGCUGAGGCUCGAAAGCGUGGGGAGCAAACAGGAUUAGAUACCCUGGUAGUCCACGCCGUAAACGAUGAGUGCUAGGUGUUAGACCCUUUCCGGGGUUUAGUGCCGCAGCUAACGCAUUAAGCACUCCGCCUGGGGAGUACGACCGCAAGGUUG